rnacentral:pre_miRNA from 1 species
AUGCAGCAUCAUCAAGAUUCUCAUCCUGGUUCUGAAUUAAGAGCUUCACCCGCUCAAUUGGAGCAGCUGCUGUUUUCGAGACAGCAGCAGAAACUCCUCCCAUAAGAAAAUCUAUAAGAAAUCCUGAAAUACCCUUCUCCUGGGGGGCACAAGCAGAGAUGGGCGAUGGAUGUGAAUCUUGAUGAUGCUGCAC